rnacentral:lncRNA from 1 species
AGCAUCAAGAAGCUAAUUUAAUCCAUGGGAUCUAUUGAGAUCACCAAGUGAAAUAAAGUGAUGAGUCAAGAGAAGAGAACCCAGGGCAGAGUCUCCUUGGACACCCCUAAGUGAAGAUGUAGAAAAUGAAUCUCAGGAGUUGUGAGCCAGGUAGGAGAAGAACAAGGAGAGACAAUAUCAGAAAAUCCUACAGAGAAAAGUGAUUAACUCUGUCAAAGGCUUCAAAGAAGUCAAGAAGGACAAGGCCUAAGAAAAGGACAUUACAUUUGACAGACAUUUGGUUACUUUGAUAGAAGCCUUGCUGGAGCUAACACCUGGUGAAUCUGGAGAAAUAACUAAACACAUUUUGGAAAUGGGAAAAAAAGAAGAACCAAAGAAAGAGACCCAAAAAGAAUUGGGAGACUCAAUAGGACACAAAGUCCUACCUACAUCUAAGGCUGCUGAAGGUGAUGAAAAAAAAGACAAGCGUAAAGAUAAUGGUGGAGAAAGCCGUGGUAAAGGCACAACUGAAAAUAAUGACAAACUAUAUGAGGAUUUUGUUUUCUGGAACUAUAAUUUAAUCAUAGAUUAAAAAUCAUUGGACCAUGACUAGGCAAAUCAUUCUGGGGACUGAUUCAAGAAGAAUCUAAGUUCAUCUCAGUGGAUAUCUUCAAGGCCUUGAAAUGGAUAAUUUACAAGUACUUACUUUGAACUAGAUGCUGACCAAGUACUUUUCACACUCCUGCAGUCAAGAUACCCCCAGAAGUUUCAGAAGUCCUUCCUAGCCAGUUUCCUCUGCCAACUUGCUAUUGCUGUUCCAUCAUCUGGAUCCUGUGGCAAUUUUAGUUUCUCUAAUGAUCAAUUACCAAUCGGGAAACUUGACUGUGCCCUAUCUAAACUAUGAAUUAUGACCAAUAUGAUUUAAAAGAAAUAAAGCCAGAUAGAAGC